GAGUUUGAUCCUAGCUCAGGAUUAACGCUUGCGAUAUGCAUAACACAUGCAAGUUAAAUAUUUUUUAUGGUAAAUAAAUUUUAUUAAUUUAAUUAAUAAAAUAAAUAAAUAAAUAGCGUACAGGUGAGUAAUAUAUAAGAAUUUACUUUUAUAAUUUAAUUAAUUUAAAAUAUAAUGUUGAAAAUCAAAAAAAAAAUUUAUAUAAAAAUAAGCUUAUAUUUGAUUAGUUAGUUGGUAAAAUAAAAGUUUACCAAGACAAUGAUCAAUAGUUGAUCUUAUCGGAUAAUCAACCACACUGAGAUUGAGACACAGCUCAGAUUCUUUUUUUGAAGCAGCAGUGGGGAAUUUUUCGCAAUAAGCAAAAGCUUGACGAAUCAAUAUCGCGUGAAGGAAAAAGGCUUUUUUUAGUCAUAAACUUCUUUUUUAUUAAAAAAAAAAUAUGAUUACUAUUUUAAGAAUAAGCAUCGGCUAAUUCUGUGCCAGCAGCCGCGGUAAUACAGGAGAUGCUAGUGUUAUCCAAAAUUAUUGGGCAUAAAAAGUCUUUAGAUUAUUUUUAUAAUUUAUUAUAAAAUUAUAAGAUUUAAUCUUAUAUAAUUAAUAAAAAUUAAAUUAUUAGAGUUUUUAAUUUAAGGUAGAAGGAAUUUUUAGUGUAAUAGUAAAAUAUGUUGAUAUUAAAAAGAACACCAAAGGCAAAAGCAUUCUACUUAUAUAUAUUUUUAAUUUAUUUAUAAUAAUAAAUAUACUGACUUUUAUAGACGAAAGCUAAAGUAGCAAACGGGAUUAGAUACCCCAUUAGUUUUAGCUGUAAAUUAUGAAUAUUAAAAAAAUAUAUAUAUAUUUUUUAUAGUAAAUACGUUAAAUAUUCUGCCUGAAAAUUAUAUUUGCAAAAAUUAAAUUCAAAGGAAUUGACGGGGACUUAUAAAAGUGAUGGAGCAUGUGGUUUAAUUUGAUGCAAAACAAAAAAUCUUACCAAAAUUAUUAUAAUAAAAAAAAUAUUAAUAUAUAAUAAAUUUAAUAUUUUUAUAUUUAUUUUAUAUUAUGGUGGUGCAUGGCUGUCAAAAGUUUGUGUCGUAAGAUGAUAUUUAUUAAAAAAAUUUAUAACAAACAAAACCCUAAUAUUUUAUUACUACAAAAAUAAAAUAUUUAAAAAUUUAAAUAUUUUAUUUUUAUAGUACUUUUUAUAAAAAAAAAGGAUUAUGUCAAGUCAUCAUGCCCCUUUAUAUUUUGGGCUACACACAUGCUACAAUGGAUAAAUAACAAAAAAAAAAUAUUAAUAUAUAAUAAAUUUAAAUAUAAUAAAAUUAUCCAAAAUUCGAAUUAUAAAUUGUAAAUCAUUUAUAUGAAGUUGGAAUCACUAGUAAUCACAGGUAAGAUAUACUGUGGUGAAUAUAUAAUUAAAAGUCUUGUACAUACCGCCCGUCACAUUUUUGAAAUUUUUUUUAAUAAAAAAUUUUAAUUAAAAUUAAAAUUAAAAAAUAAAUAACUAAAAUGAAGUCGUAACAAGGUAGUUGUACUGGAAAGUGUGGCUAGAAUACCUCCAUU
rnacentral:rRNA from 1 species